UUAAGCGACUAAGCGUACACGGUGGAUGCCCUGGCAGUCAGAGGCGAUGAAGGACGUGCUAAUCUGCGAAAAGCGUCGGUAAGGUGAUAUGAACCGUUACAGCCGGCGAUGUCCGAAUGGGGAAACCCAGUGCAAUUCGUUGCACUAUCGUUAACUGAAUACAUAGGUUAACGAGGCGAACCGGGGGAACUGAAACAUCUAAGUACCCCGAGGAAAAGAAAUCAACCGAGAUUCCCCCAGUAGCGGCGAGCGAACGGGGAGCAGCCCAGAGUCUGAAUCAGCUUGUGUGUUAGUGGAACGGUCUGGAAAGUCCGACGGUACAGGGUGAUAGUCCCGUACACCAAAAUGCACAGGCUGUGAACUCGAAGAGUAGGGCGGGACACGUGGUAUCCUGUCUGAAUAUGGGGGGACCAUCCUCCAAGGCUAAAUACUCCUGACUGACCGAUAGUGAACCAGUACCGUGAGGGAAAGGCGAAAAGAACCCCGGCGAGGGGAGUGAAAAAGAACCUGAAACCGUGUACGUACAAGCAGUGGGAGCACCUUCGGGUGUGACUGCGUACCUUUUGUAUAAUGGGUCAGCGACUUAUAUUCUGUAGCAAGGUUAACCGUAUAGGGGAGCCGCAGGGAAACCGAGUCUUAACUGGGCGUUAAGUUGCAGGGUAUAGACCCGAAACCCGGUGAUCUAGCCAUGGGCAGGUUGAAGGUUGGGUAACACUAACUGGAGGACCGAACCGACUAAUGUUGAAAAAUUAGCGGAUGACUUGUGGCUGGGGGUGAAAGGCCAAUCAAACCGGGAGAUAGCUGGUUCUCCCCGAAAGCUAUUUAGGUAGCGCCUCGUGAANUCAUCUUCGGGGGUAGAGCACUGUUUCGGCUAGGGGGUCAUCCCGACUUACCAACCCGAUGCAAACUACGAAUACCGAAGAAUGUUAUCACGGGAGACACACGGCGGGUGCUAACGUCCGUCGUGAAGAGGGAAACAACCCAGACCGCCAGCUAAGGUCCCAAAGUCAUGGUUAAGUGGGAAACGAUGUGGGAAGGCACAGACAGCCAGGAUGUUGGCUUAGAAGCAGCCAUCAUUUAAAGAAAGCGUAAUAGCUCACUGGUCGAGUCGGCCUGCGCGGAAGAUGUAACGGGGCUAAACCAUGCACCGAAGCUGCGGCAGCGACACUAUGUGUUGUUGGGUAGGGGAGCGUUCUGUAAGCCUGCGAAGGUGUGCUGUGAGGCAUGCUGGAGGUAUCAGAAGUGCGAAUGCUGACAUAAGUAACGAUAAAGCGGGUGAAAAGCCCGCUCGCCGGAAGACCAAGGGUUCCUGUCCAACGUUAAUCGGGGCAGGGUGAGUCGACCCCUAAGGCGAGGCCGAAAGGCGUAGUCGAUGGGAAACAGGUUAAUAUUCCUGUACUUGGUGUUACUGCGAAGGGGGGACGGAGAAGGCUAUGUUAGCCGGGCGACGGUUGUCCCGGUUUAAGCAUGUAGGCUGGUUGUCCAGGCAAAUCCGGAUAAUCAAGGCUGAGGUGUGAUGACGAGGUACUACGGUGCUGAAGUAACAAAUGCCCUGCUUCCAGGAAAAGCCUCUAAGCAUCAGGUAACAUCAAAUCGUACCCCAAACCGACACAGGUGGUCAGGUAGAGAAUACCAAGGCGCUUGAGAGAACUCGGGUGAAGGAACUAGGCAAAAUAGUGCCGUAACUUCGGGAGAAGGCACGCUGGUGUGUAGGUGAAGUCCCUGCGGAUGGAGCUGAGACCAGUCGAAGAUACCAGCUGGCUGCAACUGUUUAUUAAAAACACAGCACUGUGCAAACACGAAAGUGGACGUAUACGGUGUGACGCCUGCCCGGUGCCGGAAGGUUAAUUGAUGGGGUUAUCCGUAAGGAGAAGCUCUUGAUCGAAGCCCCGGUAAACGGCGGCCGUAACUAUAACGGUCCUAAGGUAGCGAAAUUCCUUGUCGGGUAAGUUCCGACCUGCACGAAUGGCGUAAUGAUGGCCAGGCUGUCUCCACCCGAGACUCAGUGAAAUUGAACUCGCUGUGAAGAUGCAGUGUACCCGCGGCAAGACGGAAAGACCCCGUGAACCUUUACUAUAGCUUGACACUGAACAUUGAGCCUUGAUGUGUAGGAUAGGUGGGAGGCUUUGAAGCGUGGACGCCAGUCUGCGUGGAGCCAACCUUGAAAUACCACCCUUUAAUGUUUGAUGUUCUAACGUUGGCCCCUGACCGGGGUUGCGGACAGUGUCUGGUGGGUAGUUUGACUGGGGCGGUCUCCUCCCAAAGCGUAACGGAGGAGCACGAAGGUUAGCUAAUCCUGGUCGGACAUCAGGAGGUUAGUGCAAUGGCAUAAGCUAGCUUGACUGCGAGCGUGACGGCGCGAGCAGGUGCGAAAGCAGGUCAUAGUGAUCCGGUGGUUCUGAAUGGAAGGGCCAUCGCUCAACGGAUAAAAGGUACUCCGGGGAUAACAGGCUGAUACCGCCCAAGAGUUCAUAUCGACGGCGGUGUUUGGCACCUCGAUGUCGGCUCAUCACAUCCUGGGGCUGAAGUAGGUCCCAAGGGUAUGGCUGUUCGCCAUUUAAAGUGGUACGCGAGCUGGGUUUAGAACGUCGUGAGACAGUUCGGUCCCUAUCUGCCGUGGGCGCUGGAGAAUUGAGGGGGGCUGCUCCUAGUACGAGAGGACCGGAGUGGACGCAUCACUGGUGUUCGGGUUGUCAUGCCAAUGGCACUGCCCGGUAGCUAAAUGCGGAAGAGAUAAGUGCUGAAAGCAUCUAAGCACGAAACUUGCCCCGAGAUGAGUUCUCCCUGAGACUUUAAGUCUCCUGAAGGAACGUUGAAGACGACGACGUUGAUAGGCCGGGUGUGUAAGCGCAGCGAUGCGUUGAGCUAACCGGUACUAAUGAACCGUGAGGCUUAACCUU
rnacentral:rRNA from 1 species